rnacentral:misc_RNA from 1 species
CAUGUAUGUCUCUCAAACAACUUGCACCUCCACGGUCUUGGGCUUCUUCGGCGGCUCCGGCAGUGGCUUCUUGUCCACGGUCACAGUCAAGACCCCGUCUUGGUACGUUGCUGAUAUCUUCUCUGUAUUUGCAUUCUCCGGCAGCACAAACUUCUUCAAAUACUUGCCAAGCCUUCUCUCUAUUCUUAUGUACUUCACUCCUUGGUCAUUUUCUUU